rnacentral:rRNA from 1 species
AUUGAACGCUGGCGGAAUGCUUUACACAUGCAAGUCGAACGGCAGCACGGGGGCAACCCUGGUGGCGAGUGGCGAACGGGUGAGUAAUACAUCGGAACGUGCCCAGUCGUGGGGGAUAACGUAGCGAAAGCUACGCUAAUACCGCAUACGAUCUACGGAUGAAAGCGGGGGAUCGCAAGACCUCGCGCGAUUGGAGCGGCCGAUGGCAGAUUAGGUAGUUGGUGGGGUAAAGGCUCACCAAGCCAACGAUCUGUAGCUGGUCUGAGAGGACGACCAGCCACACUGGGACUGAGACACGGCCCAGACUCCUACGGGAGGCAGCAGUGGGGAAUUUUGGACAAUGGGCGCAAGCCUGAUCCAGCCAUUCCGCGUGCAGGAUGAAGGCCCUCGGGUUGUAAACUGCUUUUGUACGGAACGAACGCGCCGGGUUAAUACCUCGGCGUAAUGACGGUAUCGUAAGAAUAAGCACCGGCUAACUACAUGCCAGCCGCCGCCGUAAC